rnacentral:rRNA from 1 species
GAUGAACGCUAGCGGCAGGCCUAACACAUGCAAGUCGAACGGUAACAUAGAGAAGCUUGCUUUUCUGAUGACGAGUGGCGCACGGGUGCGUAACGCGUAUACAAUCUACCUUUUACAGGGGGAUAGCCUUUAGAAAUGAAGAAUAAUACCCCAUAGUAAGUAAUUUUCGCAUGGAAGAUACUUUAAAGUUUCGGCGGUAAAAGAUGAGUAUGCGUUCUAUUAGCUAGAUGGUAAGGUAACGGCUUACCAUGGCAACGAUAGAUAGGGGCCCUGAGAGGGGGAUCCCCCACACUGGUACUGAGACACGGACCAGACUCCUACGGGAGGCAGCAGUGAGGAAUAUUGGACAAUGGGCGAGAGCCUGAUCCAGCCAUGCCGCGUGCAGGAAGACUGCCCUAUGGGUUGUAAACUGCUUUUAUACGGGAAGAAACCCACCUACGUGUAGGUGGCUGACGGUACCGUAAGAAUAAGGAUCGGCUAACUCCG